rnacentral:pre_miRNA from 1 species
AAUGGUUCUUGGGAGCUUUCUUCAGUCCACUCAUGGAAGGGGAAAGGGUUUGAAUUAGCUGCCGACUCAUUCAUUCAAACACAGUAGAAGAAUACGGCUUUGUACUACUGUGAAUGUGUGAAUGAUUCGGGAGACAAAUUUCGUCCUAUUCGUCUCUAUGAUUGGACUGAAGGGAGCUCCCGUUUACUAAUUU